rnacentral:lncRNA from 1 species
AAAAAAAAAAAAACUGUACCAUCAUUUGUUCUUGGGAUUUCGAAGCCUUAUUUUACACAAUCUAUGCAUCUGCGUCGACUUGAAAACUUCAACUUGGUACACGAAAGUUCGAACGAAUAUACUGGUGUCCCUAAUCUAGUUAUUCCUAGCUCGCUGAAGAAGUUAGCCUCAAGAUUGUCUGCCCGUUGCCGAAUCUUGAAGUGCUCAAACUGAGACAAUUCGAUUUUAAGGAACAAGAGUGGAUAGUUAGUGAUCAUGAUUUCCCAAAGCUGCGGUUUCUUCUCAUUGAUGAUUCAAAUCUCAAGCAAUGGAACACUGACGGCAGCCACUUUCCGUUGCUCGAACACCUACUGAUUCAUUAUUGCCGACGUCUGAGUGAAAUUCCAGAUAGUAUGGGAGAAAUUCCACACUGAAGUUGGUUGAGGUCAAGAGAUGUGAGAAAUCCCUAGCGGUACUCUGUCAAGUAAUACAAGAGAGCAACAAAAUUAUGGAGAUUGUUUUUUGAAGUUCGUUGUAUUAACUGUUUAGCCUACAGAAAUUGCUUUCCCUCGAUUUUUGACAGGUUAGAGAUUUAUUGAGUUUGUUGGUGGUUUCCUCUCAAGUUUGAUGACUGAUCUCUGAAUUCUUGACUCAGAUUUCAUUUUACAAGUAUCUCAUGUUUCCACUUUAUAUUUCUAACUCUAUCUUCCUUUCCUAUUGUAUGAAGAAUGCCCACGAGUUCAACGACAUAGUCGAGGCCUUCGGUGGGAGGACAUACGGUACGUGGGGCCCGCCCCGGCACGCAUGUCUACAAGAGGGUCUGGACGGCCAACGAAGGCCCCCUGUCGGAGUUCAUAUACUACCACCAUGAGAUGGUCUUGGUGAGUUUCAUUGCACGAGUUCAAUUAAUGAUUUAAUGGAUCUUUUUUGUUUAGGGUUUCACACUGGUUUUAAUUUUAAUCAGAUAAAAGAAUUCCCAGAGAAGGUGAUUCUCUUCUGUGAAGUACCUCCGCCGGAAGGAGGAGAAACUCCGAUCGCGCCUAGCUUCCGUGUAACGGAGAGGAUGUUGGAAGAGUACCCAGAGAUGGUGGAGGAGAUGGAGAGGAAAGGACUGGAUACACUUCAGGCCCUAAGCAAAAACGAUACUCUUCCAUGAGAGGUCGAGGUUGGGAAGAUGCAUUUGGACUUCAGAUUGCGUAGAAGCAGAGAAGAGGUAAGCAAUUUCGAGUUCUUUCUAGACAUAUUGUGGAGAGGGGGCGUUUACUUUGCAUGAUUGAUCAGAUGAAAAAAACCGUCGUCCAUCAACACCUACAAAUAAAUAGCUACACCUUCAUUAGUGACAGAAGAUUUUCUAAUAGAUGAUGCUUUUCGUCUGUCAUCUAUUAGCGAUUUUCUUGUAGUGAUGAUUGAGUAUUUUCAUCCUAGAGAGUAGGAUUACUCCAAUCCCACCUUUGAAAUGGGAUAUAAAUCGAGUAAAACUAGCUUAAAUGAUAGAAAAAAUCAAGGGUCUUGGGAUAUCCCAAAAUUUUAAUCCAUCGAAGUAAACAAAGGAUUAGCCAUACUAUUUUUUACCUAUAUAUCAAGGCUAAUCCUCCAUGAAAGUGUUGCUCCACACGAACUAACUGAAAACCUUGUGUUAAAGUAACACACCACACAGCACAGAGUAAAUAAUGCAGCGGAAAUAAACGAACACCAAACUUUGGAAAAAUUUCUUCAAGUUAUAAAUAACUUGAAGAAUGCCUUAUGGCGAAGAGAAUGACACUCACGUUCAAUACCUUUACAAAGGACUAGGUAUUGAACACCAUACACUCUCACUAACAAACUAAACUGGAUUCAAGAGCUAUACUCCGAAAUCCAACAAAACACAGAAUGCUAUAANAUUGCAAGAAUAAUCAUAAUGGAACUAUGCUUGACUACAGGAGAAAAUACUUCAUUGAAGUCAACCCCCUCCUUUUGGGUGAAACCUCGAGCCACCAAUCUAGCCUUAUAUCUUAUCCUUGUUACUUUACCUGUCUCAAUUUUCUUUUUAAAAAUCCAUUUGCAACUAACUGCCUUUUGAGAUUUUGGCUUUUUCACAAGUAUCCAGGUUCCAUUCUUGAGUAAUGAAGAUAUCUCUUCAUUCAUAGCUCUAUCCAUUUAUCUUUCUCUUUGCAAGUAACUACUUCUUUGUAACUGCUUGGCUUAGAAUACUCUAAUAAGGUUUAACUAGCAAAAUAAAGGCAUAAGUUCAGCCCACAAUUAAACAAAAUAGUUUAGGCCCACAAAAAGACAAAAUAAAAUAGCAGCUCAUUAAUCUUCUCGCUAACAUUCGGACUGCACCCAGACGGUAUGGACAUACUGUUCAGCCUGCGCGUACAGCUUUCUUACUUCACGAAUUCUUUACUUCCAUACUCUUCCAAAACUGAGCUUUUUCUCCAAAACCUAUCAAAUACCAUCAAAAUUCACUUAAGCUCAUAAAUCAUAUCAAAAGGAUUAUAUAUAUAUAUAUAUAUAAAUAAUGAAGCAUAGAAAUCAUACUAAAACACCCAAAAUAUGCAUAUAAAAUAGGCCUAAUCACAAGUCUACAUGCGACACAUUAUGCAAUCUAUUAAGGAUACAAUUAUUUUGAAAGAUUAACCCUGAUAUUUAAAAAUAAUAAGGUCAAUCAUUUACUCCAUCUGUAUCAUCUUUUAGUAUCCAUAUUUCUAUUUUUGCAUGUCCCACGUUUUUUUUAUCAAUUUCUAUUUUUAGUAAUGUCUUUUUUUUUACUCCACUUUAAUUAUUUUAACACUCACAUAAAAGUAGAGACCCUUGUUCCACUCAAAUACACCCAACCACUGUGCCACUCUCAAUUGAAUGCUAAAAGUUACUACUCCAGGACAUAAGAAGUAUUUACUUAUAUUGAUUCAAACAUUGAGAUAUCCAAUGCCCUUAAUUAUUUAUGUCAUUUAAGCUAAUUUUGAAUGAUUUAUAUCACUUUGAAAGGGUGAGAUUGGAGGAAUCAUACUCUUCAAACUAAAAAAAUUCAAUCAUGCAAAGUAAACGCCAUCUAAUUACGUAACAUAAAUCAACUACGAAAAAUGUAUUGUACUCCUACAUAUCGUGAUCUUUAAUUUGAUAUGUAUAUCGUGAUCUUUAAUUUGAUAUGUAUAUCAAAUAUUUUAUCAUUAGCUGAGUUUCAUAAUUUUCGAAAAGAACGAAAAUAGAAAAAAAAAAGAAGUAAAAAAUAUAUAUAUAUAUAUAUAUAUAAUUUAUAAAUAAAUCUUCAAUUUUAUUACUAUAAUCACCAAUUUAUCAUUUAAUUCUGAAAUUGAUUUGAAAGUGAAAGUUGCCUUUUUAAUAUAUUAUAAAUUAUAGAUAUUUAUAAAAUCGUAUAAAAAUAGGAAAUUGAGUAAAUUUUUUGCAUUGAGUAGGCAAUUAACUAUAAAUAAGGUCGAUUUGAAAAUAUGUUAAAUUGAUUUUGAGAUUAUAGUAUACUUGUACCAUCAAAUUGAUGACAGCUCCAAUUGGUGACUUGUUUUCACACUAUUUUAACUUAAAAAGUUGUAAAGUCUAUCUUAAAUAGUUGUUGAAUUCGUAAUUAAUUAAUUUUGCCGCCCGUAUCGCGUAUAAUUAUUGCCAACAAAUCCCACAUCGCAGCCUACUUUGCCCUAAUUAGGCCCACGUUUAUCAUCAUUCGCCGCUGCUUUCAUUUGGUUCCAGUUUUCCCGCUUCCACACAUCGUACCCCUCGCUGCUCACACUUGUACAUUCGGUGUCGCUCCCCAAAUUUACCAUACUGCCCACGCACUUGUGUGUGCGCGCGUCGUCUUGUUCUAUAUAAGCACAGAUUGCACGCACCUUCACUGCGUGUGCCGCUGUGUGAGAGAGAGGGAGAGACGCUUACUCACGUAUAUAAUCUAGAGAGAGGGAGGGGGAGACAGGCGAUAGCAGAGCGCCAGCCACCUCACACAAAAACAGCGCAUUCAAAAACCCUAGAGAAUUAUCGCGGCGACUCGGGAGGAUGGACGCCGAGUCGACUCAGGUUCAGCAGGCGCAAUUGGCGGCGAUUCUGGGGCCGGACCCGGCGCCGUUCGAAACCCUGAUUUCCCAUCUGAUGUCAUCCUCCAACGAGCAGCGAUCCCAGGCCGAGUCAAUCUUCAAUUUGAUCAAGCAGAACGAUCCGAACUCGCUCGCGCUCAAGCUCGGCCACCUCAUCUCCUCGUCCGUGCACCAGGAGGCGCGCGCCAUGGCGGCGAUUCUCCUGCGGAAGCAGCUGACUCGGGAUGACGCGUAUAUCUGGCCCAACCUCAGCGAGUCGACUCGCUCCACCGUUAAAAACGUGCUGUUGUCAUCGCUCCAGAGCGAGGAGUCGAAAUCGAUUAUUAAGAAGCUCUGCGACACCAUCUCGGAGCUCGCUUCUUCGCUCGUGCCCGAGAAUCAGUGGCCGGAAAUCCUGCCGUUUAUGUUCCAGUGCGUGACGUCUAGUGCUCCGAAGCUGCAGGAAUCAGCGUUCCUGAUGUUCUCUCAAUUGGCGCAAUUCAUUGGAGAAACGCUGAUUCCGUAUAUCACUGAUUUGCACACCGUGUUCCUGAACGUAUUGAACAAUUCCCCCAAUCCGGAUGUCAAGAUUGCGGCUUUGAGCGCUGUCAUAAAUUUUAUCCAGUGUUUGACGAGUUCGAAUGAUCGCGAUAGGUUCCAGGAUUUGUUGCCGGCUAUGAUGAGGACACUGACCGAGUCGCUGAACUCGGGCCAAGAGGCGACUGCGCAGGAGGCGUUGGAGCUGUUGAUUGAGCUGGCUGGGACGGAGCCGAGGUUUUUGAGGAGGCAGAUUGUAGAUGUUGUUGGAGCCAUGUUGCAGAUUGCCGAGGCUGAGAGUCUGGAGGAAGGCACGCGGCAUUUGGCAAUUGAGUUUGUAAUUACACUAGCGGAAGCAAGGAAAGAGCGCCAGGGAUGAUGCGCAAGCUGCCUCAGUUCAUUAGCAGGCUUUUCGCCAAUUUGAUGAAGAUGCUUUUGGAUGUGGAGGAUGAUCCUGCGUGGCACAGUGCGGAAGCCAAGGAUGAGGAUGCAGGAGAGACGAGUAACUAUAGUGUUGGCCAGGAAUGCUUAGAUAGGCUUUCUAUAGCGCUUGGUGGGAAUACGAUUGUCCCUGUAGCGUCCGAGCAGUUUAAGGCAUAUUUUUCUGCUCCAGAGUGGCAGAAGCAUCACGCAGCACUCAUUGCACUUGCACAGAUUGCAGAGGGUUGCUCGAAGGUAUACAUAACCAUAAAAGAUACUAUUAUUAUAUGAGCAACCUUGUGAAUUUAAAAAUGAUUUUUUUUUUCGGGUUUCAACUAAUAAUUGUGCUGAAUUAGAAAUGUUGUCUCAUGUUCAUGUUCAUGGCUGUCUCAUGAUCACAUAAAAUACACAAUUUAUGACUUUUUGUGUUCGGUUAGGAGUGUCUUUUAGAUGAUCAUUUGGCGAUUUUUGACAUCACUUAUCUCGUGCUAAGUGCUAACAUAAAAUUCAUUAGUAUUCAGUAUCAUUUUAUUUCUUUUACUAGUUUUAGUGCUAACAUAAAAUUCAUUAGUAUUCAGUAUCAUUUUAUUUCUUUUACUAGUUUUGUUACCAGCGCACAGGAAUAUAAUACAAUUUGUUCGCAUAAUAAGAGAGUAAUAUGUAGGUGAUGGUUACUAAUUUGGAACAAGUGGUGAACAUGGUCUUGAAUUCCUUUCAACAUCCUCAUCCACGUGUGAGAUGGUCAGCAAUCAAUGCAAUCGGUCAGCUAUCAACUGACUUGGGCCCAGAUUUGCAAAUUCAGUUCCAUCAGCAUGUCCUGCCAGCUCUAGCUGCAGCGAUGGAUGACUUCCAAAAUCCUCGAGUACAGGUUUGUUUGUUUAUCAUGUUGUCUGCUGCAUUAGUUUCUGAAAAUGAAUUAUGUGCUCUUUAAGCAAUCCCCUCCCUUUUUGCAGGCACAUGCGGCUUCAGCCGUGCUUAACUUUAGUGAGAACUGCACUCCGGAAAUUUUGACACCUUACUUAGAUGGGAUAGUGCACAAGCUUCUUCUACUUCUUCAGGUGAAGUUGAGAAUUUAGGAUAUGCAAUAAUAGAUAUGCUAAACUGAUAUAUGUUUUGUAAAUUGCAGAAUUCCAAGCAAAUGGUUCAGGAGGGUGCCUUAACUGCUUUAGCUUCGGUAGCUGAUUCAUCUCAGGUACACCAUUCUCGUUAUAUAUCGUGUUGUUAGUUUCUUGAUUUUUGAUGGGUGACUUGGUUAACUUAUGGAAUUAUGAUGGCAGGAACAUUUCCAGAAAUAUUAUGAUGCAGUUAUGCCUUACUUGAAAGUUAUCUUAGAGAAUGCCACAGACAAGUCUAACCGCAUGCUCCGUGCAAAAGCUAUGGAGUGCAUAAGCUUGGUGGGGAUGGCGGUUGGAAAGGAGAAAUUCAAAGAGGACGCUAAGCAGGUAGGCGAGAAAAGAUAUCUGGGUCCUGGUUGUUGUAUUUAUGUUGAAUGUGCUAUUUCCUCGUGUUUGUUUUGUGCUUUGUAUUCACUGGCUGCUUUACUCAUUUGCAAUAUCAGCACACCUUACCCGGGCUUAAUUGUGAUUCGAAAAUGAUAUUAGUUUCAUUCAUUUUUGCUAGGUGAUGGGAGUACUUAUGUCAUUGCAAGGAUCACAAAUGGAGACAGAUGAUCCUACUACCAGUUACAUGCUACAAGUAUGUCAUUUGUCCUUGGGAGCUGCAGCUUUCAUGCCUUAAAAGAUUAGUUUAGCCACAUCAAACUAAUUCAUCUUUGUUCUAUUGUAGGCAUGGGCCAGACUUUGCAAGUGCUUGGGACAAGAUUUUCUUCCUUAUAUGAGUGUGGUCAUGCCUCCUCUGCUUCAGUCUGCUCAGCUAAAGCCUGAUGUGAUAAUUACAUCUGCUGAUUCAGACAAUGAAAUUGAUGAAUCGGAUGAUGAAAGGUGAACAUUUUCUUACAUUAUGUAGAUUUAUCUUAUAAAAAACUUAUUUACAUGUUUGAAUGAAAGUUGGCUUUAUUUACCACAAAUUCAUUCUUUAUCUAUUAGGUUGCCUAUAACUUCAUGAACAUAUCCCUCUGAGAAUGUCCUUUGCACUGUUGAAGCUUCUUUUAUGUUUUGUAUAGUAUUGUUUCUUGAUGACUAUUAGUUCUGAUAUGUGUUCACAUUGUUUGCAUCUUGGUUUUAGCGCUAUACAUUUCCGUUUGGUGCACACACAAUUUGCUAAUUGCUUCCAAUAUUAACACAUUUCUAUAAAUAUUGCAGCAUGGAGACCAUAACCCUCGGGGAUAAAAGGAUUGGAAUUAAGACCAGUGUCCUAGAGGAGAAGGCCACCGCUUGCAAUAUGUUGUGCUGCUAUGCUGAUGAGUUAAAGGAAGGUUUUUACCCAUGGAUAGAUCAGGUUAGUGGAAGUAAAUUGGUCUUUGCUGGAUGCCGUUGAUGGUAGAUCACAAUUUAAAGACGUUAUGGUAUAUUGUGUUUGACACAGGUUGCCCCUACUUUGGUUCCGCUUUUGAAAUUUUAUUUCCAUGAAGAAGUCAGGAAGGCUGCUGUCUCAGGUAAUGCAGUUUCUACUUGGAAUGUUUCCAUAUAUAGAAUAUUGAAGUUGCUAAUAUGGAUUAACGCUUUCAUUUUCAAUUUCUAGCAAUGCCGGAGCUGUUGCGGUCUGCAAAAUUGGCUGUCGAAAAAGGAAUUGCGCAGGGUCGUAAUGAGACAUAUGUUAAGCAGCUGUCAGAUUUCAUUGUUCCUGCUUUAGUGGAAGCCUUACACAAGUUCUAUUGAAUGUUCCAUACAGUUGUUUGCAUUCGUUGUGAUAUUGAUACUGGGCUCAUAAUUAUCAAUUAUGAUGCGGAACUGAUAUAGGUCUGUGCAAACAUGUUGGGUUGAAGAAUGUGGCAGGUGUAGAAUAUGUAAGAGCUAUCUUGUCUGUUUUGAGUACUUCACAGUUCUGUUAGAUAUUAUCUAAUUGUGUUUGCAUUUGUGAUUAUUAAUGAGUUGCAUGAAAUAUAUGCGACCUGAUAUGAUCGUCUAAGUAAUUUGGAGCUAACGAAUGUGUGCAUUGGUCACUGUAAUGUAAUAAUACCUGCUUGUGCAUGCUUGUAGAGUUCCAGACUUAAAUAUUAUAGAACGAUGAUAUUAUCGUUUUCAAAGUGAAAGUGUUGAGAAAACAGAGGACUAGGACUAUUUCAUAUAAGUAAUUAUAGUAUAAGAAUUAUUCAAGAGACGACUGCUGCUUGUUGGUAACAACUACCCACCAAGUGUGCAAUUUGCUAGAGUAGUAAAUUUAAUCUGUUCUUUUCAGUAGACUGGUAUGAGUUUUUGGUUAGUUGAGAUGAGUUGCUCAAUUAUUGUUAAAUAAAUGGGGGAAUGAUAGUUCUGGUUUUAAAUUGUAUUAUUAUUUCAUGGUUGUAUAUAAUGAAUUUACUGUAUAUGCUAGAAUUUAACUCGUCAUUCCCCCAUGUAUUCCUCUCAGAUUUCUGGAUCUCUUUUAGAUGAGAGCCAGGUUAGAAGCAUUGUGGAAGAGAUAAAACAGGUGAUCACAGCUAGCUCAAGUAGAAAAAAGGAGAGAGCUGAGAGAGCCAAAGCUGAAGAUUUUGAUGCUGAGGAGGGAGAACUUCUUAAAGAGGAAGAUGAACAGGAAGAAGAAGUAUUUGAUCAAGUUAGUAAAUUCACAUUUGGCUUUUCGGGAUAUAACCAAUUGUUUAAAUUCUGGCAGAUUGGAAACAUGAAAUCUUCCUAAGCUGGUCAUUUUUGUUUCAGGUUGGUGAAAUAUUGGGAACUUUAAUUAAAACAUUUAAGGCUUCCUUCUUGCCUUUCUUCGAUGAACUAUCAUCAUACCUGAUGCCGAUGUGGGUAAGCUAUUGCCUUUUCAUGUUGGAGAGCAAAAUCAGAGAAUUAGAACAUGGUUAAAACUUGAAUGUCUAUCUUAAACCUAAAAUUUUCAGUUCAUGAUUGGGACACUCCUUUUUUCUUGCAGGGGAAGGACAAAUCUGCUGAAGAGAGAAGGAUUGCCAUCUGCAUCUUUGAUGAUGUAGCUGAGCAGUGCCGUGAUUCAGCUCUGAAGUAUGUAAACAUGCCUUAAAAUAAUUAAAUUUGGUUUCGAUUAUGAAAUACAUACUUAGUUCCUGUCUUUUUUAUUUGAAUCAGGUAUUAUGAUACAUAUCUUCCUUUCCUCUUGGAGGCAUGCAAUGAUGAAAACUCAGAUGUUCGACAGGUUAGCCAAAGAUCUGAACUAUCUUGUAUUCCACACAAUCUUAACCAUGUUAAUCUAUCAUAUUUUAAUUGCCUCUUUUCUUUUUCAGGCUGCUGUAUAUGGGCUCGGAGUGUGUGCAGAGUUUGGAAGUUCUGUGUUUAAGCCACUUGUUGGAGGUAUUAUUGCCUGAAUGUGGCUGUAGAAAGCAAAUUUCAGCUCGAUAUCUGUAUUCUGACCUUUCUUUGUAAUCUUGUUCAGAGGCACUUUCUAGGCUCAAUGUAGUUAUUAGGCACCCCAAUGCUUUGCAACCGGACAAUGUGAUGGCUUAUGACAAUGCUGUUUCAGCUCUGGGAAAGAUAUGUCAGUAUCAUCGUGAUAGCAUUGAUUCAGCUCAGGUUCUCUCUCUCUCUCUCUCUCUGGGUCGUGUCAUUUUCUGAUUGAAUUUCUUGUUUCUCUGUCAUUCUCUUUUACCCUGAGAAUGGGCAUAUAGUUUUGGCUGAGUCAUUAUAUUGUCUUACUCUCCAGAUUUUCACUUUUAACUGAAUACUAUAAUAAUUUCAUGUCUCUUUGCAUUCGAUUAAUUCUAACAGUGUAAAAUUGUUCUGAUAGGUGGUUCCUGCCUGGUUAAAUUGUUUACCUAUAAAGGGUGAUGUUAUUGAGGCAAAAGUUGUCCAUGACCAGCUUUGCUCAAUGGUUGAGAGGUGAGGACCUGAAAUUCCUUUUCUUUCCUUUUAAAAAUAUAUACAAAUUUUUAUAACCUGAUUUGAUUGUCAUCUCUGCUUUACUUGUAUCACCUGUUUACAUAUAAUCUUUAAUUUCUGACUCCGCUGUCAUUUUUCCUUUUCGUAUAUCCUCUCAUUGACCACAAUUUCCUCCUUUCAGGUCUGAUUUGGAGCUUUUGGGGCCCAACAAUCAGUAUCUCCCUAAAAUCGUUUCUGUUUUUGCUGAGGUUAGUUAUGUUAACCAAUUUCAGGACCAUGAUAAUUAUUUUUAUAGUUCUCUAACAAUGUAGUUGCCCAUUCUAUUCUCAUUUUUGGUUUGAGAAGACCUGUAUCUUUCCUUCAAUUUCUGCAUCCCAUUUUCUGGAUUUCGGAUGAGAUUGUUUUUCAUUAUAUUUCUUCAGUGAGGUAAGGUCUUUUUUAAUAUUGUUUCAUCUCAGGUUCUCUGUGCUGGCAAGGAUCUUGCCUCAGAGCAAACUGCCAGUCGAAUGGUAAAUUUGUUGAGGCAGCUACAACAGACGCUGCCUCCAUCCACCCUGGCCUCUACAUGGUCGUCCUUGCAGCCUCAACAGCAGCUCGCGUUGCAGACAAUUCUGUCAUCGUAGUACUCAUGAGUGAAACCGUUGAUUUUAUAUUGAAUUGUCGGUUGUCAGUGGUGAUUUGUGCCGAUCAAGCAUUUGUUCGUCCAUUGUUUCUGAUGAGAGAGAUGUUCCGCAUUCUUUUGCACAAGGUUUUGGUCGAGUGAGGAUCCGUUUCGCAUAGAAAUGGAGUAGAGUCUGUAGACUGUGUAUAUUACAAGAUCACCUGUAUUGCUUCCAAAAACAGGGGGGAUCUGGUGUUCUUUUAUUUAUUUGUGAGAUUUUUGUGAACAACUGUGCUCUUCGAGGAUUGCCAGAGAGGCAAUUCCUGUCUCAGUUUUGGUCAGAUCAUGCUAUUUUUUUUCUCCCCCUUCUUUUUCUUUACAUCAGUGAUUGUUAUAGUACAGAGAUUUGGAAUUUUUUUUUUAAAAGAACAUUGUUAUUUGUUUUGUUUAUUUGUAUUCAGUGGUUGGAAAUAUUGUUUCCAACUAGUUAUAUGAGAAAUGAUACUUGGAUGUUCAAUUUCCAUCUUUGUACUUGUAAUCAAUAUUUGAUGUUCUCCAUCGCAUUUUAGUAUCGUACUUAAAUUGGUUUAUGUUUCUAGGGAAGCAGACAGUUAUAUGGUUGGAGUUGAACUGUUCCAACAACCUAUGAACCUUAUCAUCCUGUCAUAUCACACCUUAUUGAAGUUGUUGCUACUACUAUACCUAAUAUUUAUGCUCUUGGUGGUUUAUGGCAAUGGAGAUUCCUCUCUAGUAGCAAGCAUGCGCAUCAAGAUUCUUUAUCUGCCAUCUCAACUCAUUUUUUAAAAUCGACUAAAAUAAGAAUGAAAAGUCAUCCACGUGGCGGGGUUUGAGAGAUAGUGAAAAAGGAAAAUUUGGCAGGCCUUUGGUGAUUGCGAUUUGCAACCAAAGUUUAUGUUUAAUGUUUGACCAUUUGAGGAAUAUAACAAAAUGUUGAAGCUUCAACUACUCCCAUGAUAAAAAGGUAUAGAUUGUCUUUAUCUAGACUAGACCACAUUUGACUUGGUUUGUUUAUCAGUCCCAUUCUUGGUCUAAUCCAAAGAUGAAAUGGCUCCCAUGUCCUAUUUGUUUAUGUGCAAACUUGAAUUAUUGCAUCGUUUGACCCCCAAAGGAAUAAGUCUUAAAACCAUAGGAAUAUAUGAAGUGAAAAGUAGAGGAAUCUACUCUUUUAGCUGCAUUUUGAUAGCUCGAGUUCGAAGGUAUAUUAGUGAUUGUAGGCUCAACCCAUGCCGUCACGAAACUGAGCACAAAAAAGAGGCCAAGAACGUGUUGAGCAAUAUGCAAAAAUGGGAUAAGGCAUGCCUCACAUAAUAAAUACAAACAAACAUUUAAUACAAUAAUAAUUAAUUAGUCAUGCCUACGACUCAUGGUUCAAUAGUUACCCCCACUCAACAUGUUCGAAGAAACUAGUCAACUCUCUUACCACAACAAAUAAUUCAAAGCAAAAACACAAGAGACAAACAAAUAAGACAUACUCUUUGUUCCUAUAAAAACACCCAUUCUCAUCUCCUUGUUCAAAUCAAGUGUUUUCCCCUCUUACAACCUCGAGCACAACUAAAUCAAACCAUGGAACUUCACUUCCAUAGCUCCUCUUCAACCAACAGCAACAACCACACAACAUAUAAGUCCACAAACAGAAGCCCUAGCAAGAGCAAGUUUGUGGGAGUGAGGCAGAGGCCCUCGGGCAAAUGGGUGGCGGAGAUCAAGAACACGACCCAAAAGAUCCGGAUGUGGCUAGGCACAUUCGACACAGCUGAGGAAGCCGCCCUAGCUUAUGACGAGGCAGCUUGCCUCCUUCGUGGGUCAAACACACGCACCAACUUCUUGAACACCAUGCCUUGCAACCCGGCCCUCUCCUUGAAGAUCAAGAACUUGUUGAAUCAAAAGAGGAGCCAAAAUAAGGCCAUUAGCCCUCCAACUUCUGCUACAAGGUAUACUGAUCAAGAUGUCAAUGGCAAGGCCAUUGAUACUACUACUAGUAGUAGUAGUAGCUCUCAAUACACUACUAAUGAGAGCUUUAGCAGCAACCAAAUCCAAAUGGAGGGCUCUCUUGAUUUCACCUCCAAUCCAUGUGAGGAUGCGUAUAAGCCCGAUUUCAGCCAUUUCACGCCCGGAUAUGAGAUGAUUACCCCUCAUUUCAAUCUUGACAAGGCUGCAGACGCGCCUAGAAGAGGCGCGAAUGAGGCGCCUUCUUUCUCGGAUUUUGAGAGAAUGAAGGUUGAGAGGCAGAUAUCAGCAUCACUCUAUGCCAUGAAUGGCAUAAAUGAAUACUGGGAUACCAUCAAUGACUCAAAUGAUGCUUUGUGGGAUAUUCAAACUCUCUGCCAAAUGUUCUGUCCAAGUUAAAACAAAGACUAGAUGGAUUCCCUUUUUUUUUUGCAAUUUUUGAGCAGUGGCUAAAUCAAGUUAGGAAGAAAGUGAUUGAGGUUGUUGUUAGAUUUGCUUCAUAAACUUCUAGAGGGAUCAUCCAAUGUGCCUCAAAGAUUUAUUUUGUAUUUUAAUUUUCACCAACUUUUGGAACAUGAACAACUUUGCCUCAUCUUUAUAUUAGAAGCUAUUAAUAAAUCAUCUAAAAUUUUAAUUUUCUUGCAAAACUCUAACUGCAUUUUUAUAUAUUACUUCUACUAUAGAAGAAUUGGAGGAGACUUUAUGCUUAUGUUACAUUUUUUUUUUNCAGAAUUUUGUUUGUAAUUUAAUGUUAGUUCGACCACCGUCUUUCAUUAACAUCUUUCUUGGGAUGUAUCGAACCAAGAUUAAUUCAAACAAUGUUGAAUUUUGACUUUUUCUUUUUAAACUCAAUUCGGUCUGAUUUAUAUUGAGUCAGAUUUAAUUAAUUUUGUUAAUAUCGAGCCAUACUCGAGCUUGAGUUCGACUCGAUUAACUCCGAGCCGGUUCAAUCCGGUCUGAGGCUGCCGUACAGCAUAAAUAUACAGCAACUUCUACGUACUAAAAUGGCAUUUAUUGAGUUAGAAGCAGUCAAUUUUAGAUUUUACCAACCAAUUCUAAAGGAAAAGUACAACUUAUAUAUGACUAAAGUUAAUUUAUUUCAUUUACAUUCUGCCGUCUACUUCUGAUUGGACAAUGUAUCUCGUAUUAGAUUGAAAUUGGAUCCAUGAAACUACAUUGAUAGAUACAUCAAUAAAUAUAUUUUUUAACCAUAUAGCUUAUUGCAAAUGACAUAAGCUAAAACGGAUUUGGGGUUUGUUUUUCGUUACAGCUUUUAGAUUUUUUGGAAAGCAUUUUCCAAACUAGUAAAUGCGUGCCUUGCCAUCGCAAAAUAAGAAAUAGAUUACUACUAUUUGGCUAACGAUUAUAUCAAUUUAAUCAUAUUAUUAAAGCCGAAUUACUAAUUAGAGAAAAAAAGUUACAUGUUGAAGUUUUGCUAUUUCUUGUUUUGUCCUAGUCUGUGGAUGACCAAAUUCAUUCUAAAUAAUUAUAAAUUGGUCAUUGAUAGUAGAUUAAAUAAAUAAAUGAAGAUAAGUCAGUGGACUAAUGUGUAAUAGUUGAGGUAGGCCUAAGUUUAAGAGGGUCUAUGAAACCCAUUUAGUCGGCCCAAAUCCAACAUACAUAAAACAAAACCUGCCACAUUAUUAGUUGCCACAUUAUUAGUUUUACUUAAAUGCACGGUCAUACCUAUUUAAUUACAAAAAUAAAAACAAAUUGCGUACGUGUGUUGGUCAAGUGGGGCUAAUGCCUAAGACUAAAGGUCUUGAGUUCGAGCCCUUGUGGCGCGAUCAUUUAAUUUCUUUAUCUAAUAUUAUAAAUUUAUCCAAAAAAAAGAUAAAAACAAAUUUAUUUGACAUGAGUUUUAUGGAGUUAGUAUUUAGUGUGAAAUGCAUCUCGCUUGCUUAACUAAUUAACAGUUGUUAAUUAACUAAUUAUAAUGCACGAGAAAUAUAGAUAACUAGUAUACAGGUUACUAAAACAACCGUACUUUUGCAGUUAGAGUUUCGUUAUACUUCAUCUACAAGUUAAUCCAUUGUUACUCCCACUCCAUUCAUGCACUAUAUUUACGAACAGAUUAACAUAACUAAUGAACAUACGUAUUUAGUAAAAAUAUAGAAAAACUCGCCACCAGCAGUAUUCGAACUCGGGGGCCUGUUCAUGCGGUACAUUGAUCUGUUCAUUAAAAUUAUAGAUCUGUUCGUUUUUAUUUUACGAAUUCUCUAUUCUCCAUAAUAUUUAGCUUCUCUGUUGAACCAUUCUCUCUCUCUCUAUAUAUAUAUAUGUGUGUGUGUGUGUGUGUGUGUGUGUUGUUUAGUAUAAUUAAUUAAACCUGGUUAAUAAAUUCUAUUUACUUAAACGACCAUUGAUUUUUCUGAGCAUCUACAACAUGUAUGGUUGUUCUCGAUCUUUUAUGGUACUUGUUUUUGUUUGUUAAUUAACCAAAAAUUAUAGAUUAAAUCAUAGGAAAAGCAAGUUGUGAAAUUUUGUUAUUUGGCUGCAUGUUUAAUUUAAUGAUUUGUUUGAUGAUGCUAAUAAAAAGUUUGACGUGAGAAGAAGAUGAGCAGAAGAAGAAAUCAAUGAGGUGAGUUUAAAGUUGAAAUAAUUAAGAAUUAUGUAUGUAUGAAAAGAUUGGUAAUUUUGAUUUGUAAUUGAUGGAGUGAGGUGCAUAGAUAUAUAGAGUAUUGCAUAAUAAUGCAUUACAAGAGUAAAAAGGAGAUCGUGGAGUUUAUUGGUAGUGAGGCCAACAUUGAGCCUGUGUUUAUUAAAACGAGUAAGAUUUGAUUUAAUUUGGUGAAAUUAAUUAAUGUAAUGUCGUAAGAUGAGUGCUUGAUGAGAUGGUGUUGCAAUUUGGGAACGGCAAAACCGAGAAUGCUUGGAGAUGAUGAUGCCUCUCAAUCUCAACUACUCUCAUUCUCAACCCAUGCAACCACACCACAUGCUCCAUCUCCAUUCUAAUGCCUCUCAACAACACAACCACAACAACUGGCCAAACCACCUCCAUCCCCAAUUCUACUGCCUCGCAACAGGAUGCAUCAACACCAACACCAACACUUACUUUUUAAUUUCAGCUGCUUUCUAUUCUUUUUCUUCUUUACAAAUUAUCCCUUGUCUUUUAAAUCUCAUUCGCACUUAAUAUUUAUAAAAAUGUCACCUUUAAUUUUUUAUUUUGGUAGGCCCAACACCACUAAAGAAUAAGAAUGACUGCUCUUCGUAAGACCUUAUUUACACUAAAAAAAUACAAUGUUCGUGACGAAAAGUAAAACUUGAGUCGAAAUAAUGAGUGUCAAACAUUAAAAAAAAAUGAAAUGAUAAAAUGUAUUUUGAAGAAAGUCAAAGUUGUUGAACAUGGGGAUCCAAGAAAUCCAUAAAUUCUUUCUAAAUUAAUAGAAAAGUGAAAUAAAAAAAAUCUAAAUAUUUUGCUUGAAAUUUUAACAACUAAGAUUUAAUAAAAAGUUGAAUACAAGCAAAAACAAGAAGCAUAUUAAUACAAAAAGAGAGAGAAGUUCAUCAAACUGCCAAACUUUUAACACACCAACUAUAUCAGUAGUCUUCACCUUCGUCUUCUUCUUCGUCAACACCUUCUGCACCAACUUCUUCAUAGUCUUUCUUAAGAGCAGCCAAAUCUUCACGAGCUUCGCUGAACUCACCUUCCUCCAUUCCUUCACCGACGUACCAGUGAACAAAUGCUCUCUUGGCAUACAUAAGGUCGAAUUUGUGGUCAAUGCGUGAGAACACUUCAGCAACUGCUGUGUUGUUGCUGAUCAUGCACACAGCGCGCUGCACUUUGGCAAGAUCGCCACCGGGUACCACAGAAGGAGGCUGGUAGUUGAUUCCGCAUUUAAAGCCAGUCGGGCACCUGUAUGGAUGGGGCAUUUUCACACUUUUUUCUUAUUGAAAUUCAAGAAAAUAAUUAACUUCUUUCCACUUGAAGCUAUUUCUCUUACCAGUCCACGAAUUGAACAGUCCGCUUAGUUUUGAUGGUAGCGACAGCUGCAUUGACAUCCUUGGGGACAACAUCUCCACGGUACAUCAAGCAACAAGCCAUGUAUUUUCCAUGACGGGGAUCACAUUUUGCCAUCAUGCUCGAGGGCUCAAACACUGCAUUUGUGAUCUCAGGCACUGAUAGCUGCUCGUGGUAUGCUUUCUCGGCUGAGAUCACAGGUGCGUAUGAUGACAACAUGAAAUGGAUACGAGGAUAUGGUACAAGGUUGGUCUGGAACUCUGUAAUAUCUACAUUAAUGGCUCCAUCAAACCGUAGAGAAGUAGUCAAGGAUGAUAUGAUUUGGGAAAUCAAACGAUUCAAAUUGGUAUAUGUAGGUCUCUCAAUAUCCAAUGACCUCCGGCAAAUAUCAUAAAUGGCUUCAUUGUCCAACAACACAGCAACAUCUGUGUGCUCAAGAAGAGAAUGAGUGGAAAGAACACUGUUGUAAGGUUCAACAACUGCAGUGGACACCUGUAAUACAAAUCAAAUCAAAUUAUAAAUUCCCUCAUGCGUGCCAUAUGCAAGCAUCUCAAGCAAACCAUUCUACUCAUGUCCUACACUUCACAUAGCCAACAUGCACAUAAAAUUGGAGAAUGACACCAUCUCGCAAAGCUAAAUGGCACAAUUACUAGCAAGUUAAAGCACCUGGGGUGAAGGAUAGAUGGUAAAGCCAAGCUUCGACUUUUUCCCAUAGUCUACAGACAAGCGCUCCAAAAGCAACGACCCCAAUCCAGAACCAGUACCACCACCUACAGCAUUGAAAACCAAGAACCCUUGCAGACCAGUGCAGUUAUCAGCCAAUUUCCUCACUCUGUCGAGGCAUAAAUCGACAAUCUCUUUUCCCACUGCAAAUAAAGCACCACAAAUUAACCAAAUUAGCUACACCUUCAUAUAUUGCCAAUGCAACAAACUAAAUGACAUCGAGUACUAUACAACAAAUAGAAAAUAAACGUAUACCUCAAAAACUUGUAUGCUAACAUACCAAUUUCCUAUUUGGGACUAUCAUAAGCAUCCUAUAGUUAUGGAAAACAAUCUCAAACUCCACAAGUAUAGUUAACACAGCUGCAUACCGGUGUAAUGCCCUCGAGCGAAAUUGUUGGCAGCAUCUUCCUUCCCAGAGAUAAGCUGCUCGGGGUGAAAGAGCUGACGAUAUGUCCCUGUCCUAACUUCAUCAAUGACGGUGGGCUCAAGAUCAACAAAAAUAGCUCUCGGCACAUGCUUUCCUGAUCCAGUCUCGCUAAAGAAGGUGUUAAAGGCAUCGUUCCCUACACCCACCGUCGUGUCACUACAAAUUCAGAAAGAAAUUAGAUCUCACCAAAUUCAGAAAUCUCGAAAUUUGGGGGGGAACUCGCUAGAUUCAAAAUCAGAGUUAGUAAAAAAAAAAAAAACACUCCAAAUUCAAACAAAAUUCAAGAGCAUAUAACUGAAAUCACGCUCUCACUCUGAUAAUCCUAGUUCAACCAUGAUCUACAUUUUACCAAAUUAAUAUUACACUGAAAUAUUGAAAGAAAAAAAAAUCAAAUGCACGCAGUUAUGACGUUCUAAAGCUUAAACGAAAACGAAUGCAGAAGAUAUAAAAAAAAGUAUAUAUAUAUAUAUAUAUAUAUAUAUAUAUAUAUAUAAUAAACNUAAAAUAAAUAAUAUAUAUAUAUAUAUAUAUAUAUAUAUAUAUAUAUAAACAAACACAGGAAAUUGUAAAUCAAGAAAAAAGAAAUAAUACCUAGGCAUCAUUCCAUCGGGCUGGAUGCCAUGCUCGAGGCAAUAGAGUUCCCAGCAAGAAUUCCCGACCUGAAUCCCUGCUUGCCCUAUGUGUACGCUUAUGAUUUCUCUCAUCUUCUCUCUCUACAAAGUGUCUUCAGAAGAAAUGAGAAUCAAAUCUUUACAAACCGGAUAGCCUAAGCCUCCUCGUUCCCUUAUUCCUCUCUCUCCCUCUCUUUCUCUAUAUGUAUAUGUGUAUAUAUCUAUUAGCUAGUUUGUAGCUAGUGAGUAGUGAGGCAGUAGAAAAUGAAAUUUGAUAAUAAAUGGGUCGGAAUCCGUGGGCCCACCAUUAGGCGCCAGCUUUGAUGUGGGCCCCAGCCCAUAUCGACUUCCAAACUUCCAUACUUUAAUGACAAAAGGGCCCCUGUCUCACUGGUGUUGGUUUGUUGGGAAUCAUUACAACUUAAUUUAAUAAGUAGUAGUAGUUCGCCUAAAAAAAUAAUAAUAAUAAUAAUAGUAGUUAAUACUCAAUCUGUUCCACGAAUCUUGGCACAAGAAUUAAUGAGUUGUAGAUUAAUAUUUUAAGUGUGUACUAAAUAUAAAAAUGAUAAAGUAGGGGAUCGGAGAGAAGGAAAUAAAAGUGAUAAAGUAGGAAAGAGUGGGUAAUAAAAGUGAUAAAGUAAGAAGGUAUUUUCCUAUUAACACUAAUAAGUGUAUAUGAGAAAUCAACUUUCAGUUCGGCUUGGGACGGAUGUUAUCACGACUUGAGUUUGACUUUUAAUGAAAUUUCUAAUAAUUAUAACGAAGAAUAUAUUUGGUGGAAGUUAAAAUUGCGCACUUUAAGUGAAAGAUAUGUUUAUAUAACUUGAAAAUAUAUACUAAGAUUUUAUUAAACAAAUUAUAAUCUUCUCGGAGAUAUUUAGGAAUCAUCAAAAAAUGAUUAUAAAUUAAAUAUUAAUAUUUUAUUCCCGCAUUUCAGCGGAAUUAACUGUUUGAAUUAAAUUGGCAAUACAGCUAUUUUUUCAUGAUUUCGUAAAAUUUUUAUUAUCUAUUGAAGACAGAUUUUACUAUCUUUUUUUUCCCAUAAGCAAAAGGUUCAUGUGCAGUACACAACAUUUUUGUAGUCAGAAUCCAAACUUCCAACGAAAUUAAGGGGAAACUCGCAAUAAUGUACUACUAUUAGGUUUAUGGUGUAAUCAUAAAUCUUGAUUUGCAUCGAACCAACACUACAACCACCCCAUAAUUCCAAGAUUUAACUGCAAGCCCACCUAAGAUUUUAUGUAUAAGAGAAGAAAAAAAAAGGCAAAAAAAAGAAGACAUAGUAAUUAGUAGUACUACUUUUGAACCCAAAUAAAGGAGCAUGCAAGUACAAACAAAGACUUGGGAUAAAAGAAAGAAAUCAAUGUUGAAUGUCUCGCGUUUAAAUUUUAUCAACGUCUUUUAAGUCGAACUUUGUUAUACAUGAUUUUUCAAAUAUAAAGCUUGUAUACUACACAUGAACCAAGUUUACCCAAUAACAGUACACACCUUGAUAACAGCUCCAUAUUUCCAUGUCAUAGAAAAAUGGUUGGGGAUCAGAAUUGAAAACAAAAAAAAUCAAAAUGAGGAGAUAAUGUUUGAUGAUGAUAUAAAAAGUACAGCAAUGAAAUGUAUUAUUGGAAGGAAAAGAUUUAGGAAGGUCCAUGUGCAUGUGUGUUAGAUAACCAACUAGCUGGUUUAUUCACAUGCAUUUAUUCCUCUUCAUUGCUGGACUGUACUUCCAACUUUGUUUUUAAAUUAUUAUUUUUUUCCCAAAAAAUUGUUUAUUGCAUUUAUGUUGGAAUUGUUUCUUCACUUUAUGCGGAUGUGAAUUGACUCCCAUUUUUAUGGACCUAAAUUUGAUACUACAAAUAGGAAAAUAAUUAAUAUUGGGCCUCCCAUAUAUCAGCAAAUUAAAGCCCACUAUAUUACCGAAUUGGGUUGGUUGCGUUUUAAUUUUUGGAGCUCUAACAAAUUCAAAGAGUAAUCACCAAUUCAUCAUCCACUUAUCUGCGCCAUUUUUCUUCACUCAAUUCUUCUAUCGAAAACUACAUUGGAUUUUUAUUUAUUUAUAGUAUUUUUUCGGGCGGCAGCAAUGGCGGCAAUCGUAGCUACAGUUGGGCCAACGAUGGCGGGUGUGACUUCACCAAAUUCAUCUAUUCCUUUUUCUGGUCACCUCUGGCCUUCUCUUCACCGUAAAUCGCUUAUCCUCCAUCUUCAUUUGUGAAAUUUGUGCUUGAUAUUGACAUUUUAUCUUCAUAUUUAAUCUCUGAUGAUUCUAUCUUGUUACAGUUUGUAUUUAUGAUUUUUCAGAAAGAAAUGUUUAGAGAUUUAAGCUAAGUAUUGUUUCCGCAAGGAGCUAAUUAAGAGUAACAAAUUGUUGAGUUUUGAAAAACAGUAUUUUUAGCUUUUUCAUUGUGGAAAAUCAUUUAUGUACUUUAAGCCUAGUUCAACUAUUUAACUUUCCUGUGAAUAAUAAUGUUCCUGCUCUUUAAUUCUUAUGGAAUUGAUAUUGUACUUACCUUGAACGUUAUCUUUUUUCCUGAAAUGCUCACAUAUAGUGUCAAAGUGUUGGUUCGCAUCUGGUUAGAACAUUCAUAAUUUGUUUGAUUAGCAAUUCGAAGCUGCUUAAAUACCUACUAUCGUGCUAGCACCAAACUAGUGGGAACAUUCAGAACUUGUUUCAUUAACAAUUUCAGGUUUUCCUUCAAUAUACUCUUUAAACUUAGAGAGAGAGAGAGAGAGAGAUGCGUCGAUGUCUAGGAACCACCAUACGAAAAAAGGACUAAGUUGAUCUAGUUAGGAAUUAAGGGUCAGAUAAGUAAACCUCUUGUUCUUAAAACCAGCAUUGAGUUGAUCUGUGAGUUUACUUCUGGAAAGACAAAUUUAUUGUCUUCUUAUUGGCUUUACUUUCGUUCAAAAUUUGAGGCGGUUAGGCCUUCUGUUAGACAUAUCUUAGCCAUAUGUUCAUUUGUUUUUAUGACUCAGCUGAUGAGUUGAACUGUCAACUAUUCACCUCAACUUAUACUUUUGUGUUACUUUUGUGUAUAUAUUUUGUUUGUGCUACAAUAUAAAUAUAGUUGAAAUGGACAACAGAAUGCAAAAAGUAACAGUGUAUAAGAUAAAGCAAUAAGCUUCACUUUGGUAGCAGCAGAGCAGAAACAAAGGAUGUGUCGAUUGUUGAAGUAAUGGACACAGUUUAUCAAAGCACCAAAGCCAACUUCCCCGCCUCUUCCUUUUUCACCUAUAAAGAUAAUGAAAGUUGAUGCUGCAGCAGCUGCAGUUCAGGUCCGUCAUGACAAGACCAUUAGAUUUGGAGAGAGGCAAAGUCGAAGCUGCACCACUUGUGGAUUACUUUCUUCUAUCAAAGCUGUAGAAAACAGCUCAGAUGAGGUAAUCGCACAAGAAAUGGAAGAAGCAGAAGAAGAGAAUCUGAAUGUUUCCCAAAUCAAACAACACCUCUUUGCUGCUCUACAAGGUGCUGGAAAAAAUUAUUUAUCACUCUACUGUCUUAUAAACACCUGUAACUUGUUUGUGUUGACAAGUUUGAACAAAGAGAGUGUGUUACAGGCAUAAAUAGAGGCAUAUUUGGAGUCCCAUCAGCCAAGAAAAGUGAAAUCCAAAAACUGGUUGAGCUUCUUGAGUCUCAAAAUCCCACACCUCAACCCACUCUCUGCUUAGAGAAGGUGCUUGCUUGCUUGUCUCUAGUCCACUUUAGGGAUUUUGUGGAGUUAUUAAUCGGAAAUUUUACAUCAGGUAGCUGGAGCUUGGAAGCUCAUCUAUAGCACCAUUAGUAUUCUCGGCUCGAAAAGAACUAAACUAGGAUUGCGGGAUUUCAUUAAUUUGGGAGACUUCAUCCAAAUUAUAAAUGUUGCUCAGGUAUUCAAUUGAAUUAUAAAUAAAUUUUUCUAGCUAUUGUGAUCCCUUCUGGGGUUGUUUGCCUUAAAGCCUUCUUCUCCUAUUUAGGCAUGUUCAUACUCAAUAGCUAGAAAGCCUACGUCAUAAAAAUAUUGUCUGAAGUUAUGUCAAGUACAACACUUUUGCACUCAAUAAUUGGAACCAUCAUACCUUCCCUUAAACUGUUCUCUUUAUGAUUGGAUGCUUCAUUUCACAAAUUUGUAAUAACAUGUAGCAUUUUUUAUGAUGGAAAAAUGGAGGGUAAAGCUGUAAAUGUGAUCGAGUUCAGUGCCAAAGGGCUGACUCUACUGAGUGGACAGUUAACAAUUGAUGCUUCUUUCAGGAUUGCCUCAAAUUCAGUGAGUGCUUUGUACCUUGUACAUUUUAAAACAUUUAUGAGGAUUCUUUCUGUUCUCAUGGUCUAAACUAUGUGUAGCGAGUCGAUAUCAAUUACCAAAAGUCAGUGAUCACCCCAGAUCAGGUAUGAAUGAUCCCAUCUCAUUCCCUGCAGCAGUGUCUUAAUGUGCAUACACACAUUUGACUUGUAUAAAGGCAAUAGAGAAUCUCUCAAUAGUAGUUGGAAUCCCAUCCAUCUUUACAAGCUAAUGUGAUCAUUGGCUUAUAAAUUCUUUGUUCAUCUUGAUUGCAACAGUUGAUGAAUGUUUUCCGCAAAAACUACGAUGUGCUUCUAGAAAUCUUCAAUCCUGAUGGUUGGCUCGAGAUCACGUAUGUUCAUCUUGUGAUUUAACCUUACCUUUUGGGAAUUUGAUUGUCAAAAGAUGGAUGUAUAUAUGAUUCCAAACAGACCAUUCUUUUAUUUUGUGAUGACAGAUAUGUUGAUGAUUCAUUGAGAAUCGGCAGAGAUGACAAAGGAAAUAUCUUCAUCUUAGAGAGUAAAAAUUUGCUGACUUGUAAUCACUGGUUCAUUCAUAUCCUUUUGGUUUUUGAUGUGGUAAUACAUUAUCUGACAGGAACAAGUUAAACAAAUCCCCCCAAAAUGGCUAAAAUUUACAUUGGCCAUUGUCAACUUCACUGUCUUGUUUCUAGAUGUGCCAGUUGAUGGAGCCCUGGGCUUGAAAUUUGGUGGAAACAAUACUUUAUUACAUUUGCAUCCUAGAAACGGGAGAGAGAGACGGAUCUCGAGUCACCGUCUGCCUGCAACAGCUGCCUUGCCAUCUCCGAUCAUCAGUCGACAGCCGUGCCAUCAACACUGAACCAACCAAAUUUCUGUUUUCUUUUUCCAAUUCUAUUUGUUUUAAUUUAUUCUAGCUUUCUAUCAACUGUAGUUCUUGUUAUUUCAAUAUGGUGUCUGGAACUAUAAGAAAUCUUAUGAUGAUGGAUUUUACUUGGUGAAAUCAAGUUUCUUUUAAGGUCUGUAUUGUAUCACAUGUUGGUACCUAUAUGCUGAUUUGGUAUUAUGAAAGUGUUUAUAAUUAAAUCUCUUUUUCGUCUUUCAAAAGUUGAGUGUUAAUAAAUUGUUGACUCAAUUUUGGCGUGCAUGUGCGUGAGAUCCAAGUAAAUUUUACAAGAGACAUAAAUCGUUAAUUAUAGAAUAUAAUUAGAGAAAAUGUGUAAUGUGAUUGAUAAACCAAUGAGAUGAAAAAUUAUUAACGUGAAGAGAGAAAAAUUAAGUUGGCCCAAAACUGAAUAGUUUAGUCGAAUUGACAUUCAUAAUUAAGAGUUUAGGAAUACUUACUAUCUGCUGCAAUAGAUCAAGAUUUUGUUACAAAAAUGAACUUUCACUCUGCUCAAGUCUCUUAGUACCAUAUUAAGCAACCUUAUUAAACCUUAAAAAGGAUGAACAUAUCGUAUCAUCUCAUAUCAAUCUAGCAACUAAAAGGGUAACUCACUUCUUCAAAAUGAUUGCUUGGCCACAAACUGAUCCAGUCUACUACUGUUCAAGUCCUGAGAAACCAGAUUGCAAUUACAGUCAGUCACAUACCCAUCUUCGAUGUUAAUAUUAGUAGAAGAGAACAUGAUAGAUCUCAAAAUACUAGAAAAAAUUGACAGACCUGCUAACGUAAGAGUUGUCUGUUGUAUUGAUAAUAAUCUUAUCUCCAGUUGCAAUAUGAGCAGGGACCUAUUAUAAAAAGAUAUGCAAAAGAGUUGGAUGGAGUUUGCAUACAUCAUUAAGUGGAAAAACAAACAUGCAACCAGCAACCAGCAACCAGCUAAAAAAUAGAAAGCAACUUUGAAAUCAUUAGAAAUGUCAUUCUCCAUGCAUACAUUUACAAGUUCCAAAUAUUUAUGAAUCUCACUAGGAUAGGGAGCAACGUCAAGCCGACUACCCAAAUUUCUUUAAUAGCUUCAUUUUUUUCUCAAUUCCUAGCUGGUUAUAGAUAAGGACAAGUCAUCAUAGUAGUGGACUCAUAUGAUUACGCAACACAUGCAGUUACUUCUAUGUGAACACAUUGUGGGAUUGUAUAGACUUCCAAAUAUAACCUUUGUAUCCAUUAAUCAAAUCCCUGGACAAUUCAAGUUUAUAAACAGUGGAUGGUCAUGCAUCUGAAACAGAAUUCACCUCAAUCGGAAACAUUUGAUCAAGAAAGUUCUUAAAGCUGAUGAAAACGGCACAUUACGAAUAUUACCUGGACAGUUAAACCAUUGUCCAACAAAGCCCUCUUAUAACUGUGACAGUGAAGAAUACAAGGGUGUGUUAUAUUAUAAAUAACAUGCCUUUAGGUGAAGGGAACACAAUCAGGAAAACAAAAGUGUUUUGUUUUUUAAUAAUAACUCACAAAUCAUAAAAUGACUAGAGCACGUGUACUUACGGUGGGGUCCCACUUCCCUUUUGUGCUUCCGCCGCUUCAACAACUGUACAUGUUACUUUAUUUGGAAUUGAUGCUGACAAGGGUCUAUCAUCAUAAAGUUGGACGGAGACUUCCAUACCAUCUGCAUAGUCAAGCAAAAACAUUUUAUGGUACAUCAGAGGUGGCUGGCAUUAGCAAUAUAUACAAUGUUACACAACAAGAAAGUUUGCAUCUGAGUUUAGAGAUGAAAUAACAUAACCUUGAAGGAACACACGAGAUUCACCAAAUAAGUGUGGUUGUACUUCUAGCUGGUCAUAGGUUUUAGGGCUGCAUUGAAAUGCAUCAUUCAAAUCCUUUAAAAUAUGUUACCCAAGUAGUACUAACUAGAAAGAUAAACAGAAGACCUCAACACUUACUCCAUUAAAACAACAUUUCCUGUAUCCCCAUCAUCAGUGUAAAGGUAUUCAAAUGACUUCUCCUGAACAUAUAUCUCUGUAUAAUACUGCCAAAAUUCAGAGGACUACAAAUAGAAUAAUCUUUGGACAUCUACAUAGGCCGAUCUACAAGCAGUGCCCUUAUCAGCAUGAGUGUUAGGUUAGCAAGCAGUAUCUAAAAUUAUCUUUUUCAUAUGCCUAUAGGCUCAUUCAAUGCAGAGAAACUGAUAAAAAGGAAUAAAGGAGGAUCAGAAAAUUUGUGAACUUAUCCAAGUCCCUAAAUGGAGAAGUUGAAAAUGGUUCAGGUAGUAAUAAAAGAAAUAACUUUAAAAACUAGGCAUUUUCUUUCCCAUUCUGGUGACAACAAGAUGAGAAUGCAUACUUUCAAUGCUCUCAUCUGUUCGCAACCUUUCAUUCACUUUAUUCCCACUAUCAACAUCACGGAGCUCCACCUGUUAGCAUUCGACCAAGAAGAAAAGAGGAAUUUCUUUAAAUAUAUUUUCAUAAGAAAGGGCUUAAAUUUACUGGGCAUGUAACUAUAAUACAAUUUCCAUCCAUCCAAAUCCAAGACCUUCCAACAGUACAUGCACUUAAUCAUAUAAAAGUUUAUAAGUAUUGGAUGAGACCUGUAUGAUAGCUCCUCCUCUUCCUUGGGUGCUAUGUUGUGCCUUAAUCACCUAGUAAAUAAUUUAGAUUGUUAUGCUUUUUCCAUAACUAUACUACUUAGUCAGUAACGCGUAAAAAAUUUCACCCAUAAACUGUAAAACUAGAGUACUGGAUAAUUACCUCAUAAAUCUUUCCUGUGUUGCAUCAGCAGCAAUCGAGAAACAAUGUCAUAGAAAUCCCAUGGCAUGCAUGUUUAUUUAAUUAUAUCAUCACCAUUCAAUUAAUUUUGAAAAUCUAACCUCUUCUUUCAAUGACGUUUCCCGGUUUCACCUGCAUCAAUAAAAAUAAGCAUGAAAUACCAAAACUUGAAGCUGGAAGGAGCUCAUAACUUCAAGCUGAGCAUGCUCUGUUCUGUGCCAUAAUUUAAAUUGUUCUUCACAAGAUUUUGAAAUUGUUCUAUUUCAGAGGUUAUUGGAGAGAAUGUUGAUCCCAUAUUUACAAAACACAAUGCUAGUCAAAUGUCUUAUUGUUACCGUCUAUCUUCCAAUUUACAGAAAGCAUAUUUCUGCCUUGUUAUGCUGCAUUAUUUAAAUCUGUCACCAUCACAAUAUCAACGGGAUUAAAUUAUGAUUAAAAGAAAAAUAAAUUCCAAAUCUCAAUAAUUCCCCCUUCCAAGCAUAUAUUUUCCAGUUAUUGCAGAUAGUAGCACUUGACUUGAUCAUUUACUAACUGAAUCACAAUAAAAGAGAACAAAACAAUAAGAGAGAGAAAUAGAGAGAGUAAAAAGUCUCAAAUUCAACUCAAAAAAGGGAAUAUUAGCUCCAAAACGAACCUACAUCGAACAACUAAUUACUACGAUAAAAAAUAACUAGACUAGAUAAACUCACUAAGUGAAAGCUUAUCAUGAAAAUGUAAAUUGUUUCAUUGAAAACCACCAGGCAUACAGUUCAAGGAAAGUAUUUUAGGAGUGAAAAAUAGAAGCAUACAUCUCCGCCGGAGAAUCUGGCGCCGCGGAGCUGGGUGGCGGACCACGGCGACUCGAGGAGGCCGCCUCCCAAUGGCUGGGAUUUAAUUCGGAGGCUGUACGUUGAGAAAUUCCUGCGGCUGUGGUGAGCUCCGGCGGCGGCGUAUGAGCGAAGAGCGGCGGACAGCCGUCGAGUGAGGACUCGCAUUUUCUUAUACGUUAAAUUGAAUUGAUCUGAAAAUAAGUACUCCGUGUAUUUAUACUUAACCCUCUUAUCUGAAUAUGAAUUUUUUAUAGUUAAAAUAAAAAUAAAUUAAUUAAUGACUCUAUUACCAUGUAUUCGAAUUCAAGACAUCGGGGUUGUAGGCCAACAAGUGACAAAUGCUGCUUCCAUCCCACAAAUCUUGAAUCACUUUUUUUUACACGGAAAUUAACGAGGUGAAGAUUAAUAUUUUAAGUGUGUAGGUGAAGAUUAGUGUUUUAAGUGUGUAGUUAAUAAAGUAGAAAAAUGAUUAGGUAAAUAUAUAAGUAAUAAAGUAGAAAAGUGAUACAGUAAAAAAGUACACAAUUAAUUAAGAUAAGUUUAAUUAGAACCCCUUAUUUUCCCCGAAUUCUUACUAUAUAUAUAGAAAUGACUCAAAAUUCAAAAUUCGCGGGAUGAAGGGAGUAACAAUUACAAAUAAUUAUAUUCAAAAACAAUUACGAAUAAUAAAAUUAAGGGGUUUUGGCAUAUAAAAUCACGAACUAUUUCAAAUUUGUAAUUUAACUUGAUUUUUGAUGUGUGACGAAUUAAAUCAUUGCCUUUUAAUUUUUGCAAUUCCAUCCCUUAAUUUUUUUUCGAUCGUGAGAUUGUUGAGUUGACGUUUACGUGGAUUAGUUCGCCACAUAAUAUCCAUGUUACGACGUCGUUUUCUAUAAAAUUGUUGAAUAUUGGAUAUUAUGGUGCAAAUACAGAAUACAAUCUCUUUAUAAUUUGAAUAAUUUUUUUUUAAUUGUACGAAACAACGCCGUUUAAGUCUCACAAAAACGACGUCGUGUUUACUAAUCCAUGUAAGCUCCAAUCCAACAUUCUGACGAUAAAAAAAAUUGCAGAAUGAAAUUGCAAAAAUUUAAAAAAUUAUGAUUUAAUUGAUCACACUUUAAAAGUCACGUUAAAAUUAUAAUUUUAAAAUAAUUUGUAAUUUUAUUUGCUAAAGCAAAUUUAAGUAUAUUAAAAGAAAACCUGAUGAUACAUUAUAUUCUAUAUCUUCUAAAACAUUAAUACUACAAUUUUUACUUUACUCAAUUAUUUAUUCUCUUCAAAUAAAUAUGCCUUGUCUUCCAAGACAAAGGAUUUCUCAGGGCCAAAUGCCAAUAUAAUUAUCUCUACUUAAUUAUACUUCGUCUUGUGGUUUUAUCACAUAAAUGCGCAGCUUUAUUCAAUUGGUAACUAUCACAAAAUUUGGGUAGAAAUGAGUGUAUUGUAUAAUUAAAUUGCAGAUGCAAUCAUAUCCUAAUCCGAAUCUACAUUUGGACUCAAAUUAUACAAAUGAAAUUAUUCUGAAUAUCAGUACAAUUUGAUUAUACGGUAUAUCCGAUCGUAUCCAAUACCACUUCCAAGUAUAUUGGUAGUUUACUUUAUGGGUUAUAAAUCAUCAUAAACAGUUUGAUAAACCAAUAAUUUGGAGUAUUAAGACAAUUUAUAACAAGUAUAAACAAAUAGUAAUCAUCUCGAGUGAGGAUAUAAUUUUAUGGUGUUUUUAUAAUCAAAUUCAAACUAUACUUUCCUCUUUUUCUUAUUUUUGCAAAUCUAUUUGGUUUCAGACGAAGUUUUAAACAACUGGUAUCGCAAAAGAAAUAUUAUGAACGACUUUUUAGAGAAGAUAUUGUUUAGACAAAUAAUUUGUUGGGCCAAGCAAAAUGAUAUAUGUUGGGCUGGAGAUUCCAAGAGUAAAUAAAAUAAAAAUCUGCCGAGUAAAAGGGAAAUAAAAAGAAAUAAAUAAAAAAAAGGCGAAAAAGGAUUGGGCACCUCGCACCUGGAUCCAAACGCGGCCAUUAUUAUAAUCACAAAAUAUUUACACGUAUAUAUAAUGUAUAUAUAUAUGAAAUCAUUAUGAAAUAGCGUAGGUGAAAGGAAGUAGCUGUGAGAGAGAGAGCCCGAAGAUUAGAAGAAGAAAAAGUAAAAUAGGAAAAUAUUUGUGAAUCCUCAAAUUUGCAGCACCCGUUGUAAUCGCUAGCUUUACAAUUUUUAUUUUUAUUUUCAUUUUAUCUUCUUUCUCUACCCGUUAGAAAAAUCUGAUUUUUUCUUGCUAAUAAUUAGAAGAAAUCUGUAAUAUUCUUGAUUUUGUCCAUGGAGUUUCCGAUGGGGAAAUGUGUAUGUAUAUUCAUGUGUAUAUUGGCGGCAUCAGCUACGUCGUUUCGAUUGGUGUCUUCAUCAUCGACUUGUAAACGUGAUUCCAUGGAAUUUCUUCACGAUCUGAAUUCUCAGUGCCCCCUAUCGAUCCAUUGCUCUUCAUCCCCAAUUCAGGUAAUUUAUCAUUUUUUUAUCCUAAAAAUUUCAGUCCUUUUUUUUUGUAUUAUUGCUACAUAUGUGCGUCUAGGGUUUCAAGGGUGUUGCCUUAGAAUAUUAAUGUCUUGAUUAUUCGAUUUUUGUAUGCGGUAUGUCGGUUUUCUUAUCUCAUUACACGCCACUUUUUGUCUCGGUGUGUGUUUUUCUUUAUUGUUAUUGUGAGCUAAUGUGUCAGCUUGUUACAUGAGCUGCAUGUUUUGGCACAAAAAGAGUAAACUUAUGUGGGAUAGAGUUAUAAACGUUGUACUCUCAUUACACUUAUUGGUAUGAAACAUUCUUUUAUUUUUGGUUUUGUAGAAAGCCUGUAUCUUGAUUCUUGACUUGUUAUAGUAAAAUGAGUAAAUUUCAGCAUUAGUUAUCUUGGGAGAUUCUAUAUGAGUGCUGUUUUAAAACUCCAUUUUCUUGAAAUUAGGGCUACCUCUAGCAUUUCCUCUCAGAAACCUAUGUUACUUCCUGUCCUGUUUUGGUUGAUUGGUUGCACAUUAGCAUACCAUUUACUUCUUUCUUGCUGUUUAUGUUGUUAACCGGCUAUCCUUCUAGCAUAAUGAUAUAACAUUACUCAUCAAUGAUAUAUAAUAACCAAGGAAGGUCUUUUUCUAUAAAAAGCUAAUGUCUUUGGUAUCCAGCUAAAACUAGGUGAGCAGCGUUGGUACACCGAAAUGUCGAUUGCAGACACACUUCAAUUAACCCUAUCUGUGGUGUGAUAGUGUUCAUUUAUAAUGAUGUUCGUACUUAUGUGAGAUUAAUAUGCAUGUUUGAUGCAGCUUUCUGUUUAUAUCUCUUGAUUCCAAUUUAAGUUGAACUGUCUUUAUCUUUCUCCCAUGCUGUAUUUUUAGAGGUUAACCCUUUAUUGGUUUAUUCUUUAAUCAUGUAUUGAUACAUUAAUAUGUAAUUGAAGGUGAAUGAAGAAUCCCUUGAAAAUGCAAUGAGCUCCAUUCGAGACAAUGAAUAUACUGCUGUUCUUUUCUAUGCUUCUUGGUGUCCUUUCUCAAGCAUCUUUCAGUCAAGGUUUUCUACUCUCAGUUCCAUGUAUCCACNUCCAUGUUACGACGUCGUUUUCUAUAAAAUUGUUGAAUAUUGGAUAUUAUGGUGCAAAUACAAGAUACAAUCUCUUUAUAAUUUGAAUAAUUUUUUUAAAAAAAAUUGUACGAAAAAACGCCGUUUAAGUUUCACAAAAACGACGUCGUGUUUACUAAUCCACGUAAGCUCCAAUCCAACAUUCUGGCAAUAAAAAAAAUUGCAAAAUACAAUUGCAAAAAUUUAAAAAAUAAUGAUUUAAUUGAUCACACUUUAAAAGUCACGUUAAAAUUAUAAUUUUAAAAUAAUUCGUAAUUUUAUUUGCUAUAGCAAAUUUAACUAUAUUAAAAGAAAACCUGAUGAAAAUUUUUUUUGCUCCUGCCGCUAGGGUUUCGCUAGGGUUCUCCGAGGGCAGAGAGUAUUGUCGUCCGUCUUUUGACGUGUGUUUUUCCUCUUCUGGGAGGAUUGAUCGUUUGUUCUUGCUGUGUUUUGCGCCUCUUCGAUGGAUCCCGAUGAGAUCCAAAAGUUAGUGAACCAACUUAGACUCACGGAGGAGGCGGAGGCGACUACGGUCUCUUUCUCGCCAGAACUGACGGAAACCCUAAAUACCACAAUCAAGUAUCGGCUGGUGGGGAAAGUCUUCGCUGGGAGACAAAUUAAUAGGGAAUUACUUCUUCAACAUUUACCCAACAUUCUCCUCUCAAAACACCGCAUUGAUGUGGAGAUUGUGGGCCCCAACGUCUUUGUUAUUAAUUUCCAUUCAUUAGAUGACAAAAGACGAGCGCUGUAUGGAGGCCCUUGGCACUUCUUCCAAGAUCUAUUACUGUUUUCUGAAAUUGAGGGCUUCCAAAACCCUUUGGAAACAAAGUUCGAGAUGUUUUCGGGAUGGGUUCAGUGCCACAACUUACCGGUGGCAUGCAUGCACCCAGAUGCGAUCCGGAAGAUCGGAGAGGGAAUCGGCCGCGUAGAAGAGGUGGAUCUGAACGCGGGACUAUGUCUGGGGCGUUUCGCAAGGGUUAGGGUUUCAUGGCCCCUUGACAGACCCUUACAAAGAUGUGUUCGUAUUGCUCCUAAUGAUACCCAACAGGGAGCCCUCAUUCUGCUCCUUUACGAAAAAUUACCCAAUUUUUGUUUCAACUGUGGGCGCAUUGGUCACUUAUAUCGCUUCUGUGAGGAGCCAAAGUGUCAGGACGGAAAGUUUAAGUAUGGUACUUGGCUCUUGGCUCCAAAAGCUAGUGAAGGAAGACGUGGAAAUAAUUCUGGAGAACGUAGAAACUAUCAAGGUAAUACAAGCACUGAAACUAGGUCUAAUGCAGACACUCACUCAUCAAGUGAAGAGGCGAAAAGGAAUAAGGGGACUGUUCUGCUGGGUCCUGACCCAGGGAAGGAUAAGGUGGUGGAUAUUGGGGAGGUGGAUGCGAGGCUGGAUAGGGCUUUGGUUGUUAAGGGUGGUGGAGGGACGUCCAGUGGGGAGGUAGAGAGGUCUGAGAGGGAGGAGGAGAGGGAGAGUGAGGCAUCUAUGAACCUGGAUGAGCCUGAGGUUACGACGGGGGUCGACAGUCCGUACGUAGGAGGACCUGUGGAGAGGGAGAUUGAAGGGGGGAGAGAAAAUAAGAUUGGAGAGGGUGGGCCUGAAGGUGGGACUCGAAAGGUGUCUUCGUGGAAACGAAGGGCAAGAACUGCCAGGAUGAGGGACACUGGUAGAGAGGGUAGAGGGGGGAGAGGAGGUAGAGGGUGGUCUGGAGGAAAGGUAGCGGGCGGCUCCCGACGAAGUGAGAUAGUGGGAGAGAAAGGAAAUGGUUCGGGUGGACAGGAGUUGGGGGCAGAGAAGGAGUUGAGAAGCGGGUCGAAAAAAUGUUUGGGGAGUUACGGGCUUGAGGUGGACUCGGAAACUCCCCCAUGCAAGAUUCCACGUCACAACACUCAAAACACAUUGGCAACAACGGCGGUGGCUGCGGAGCAGCACCGCCGAGCCCAAUGAAUUGCAUUGUUUGGAAUGCGCGGGGUCUGGGUUCGCCCCGAGCAUUCCAUAAUCUACGGCAGUUGGUAACUGGUGCGAAACCCACUCUUUUAUUUAUUUCGGAAACUAAAAUGAAGACUCGUUUUUGUGAAAGGUGGAGGUACUUGCUUGGUUUCGAUGGCCACUUCAUUGUGGACGCGGUGGGAAAAAGUGGAGGUCUUAUGUUGUUUUGGAGUGCUCCUCUGGAGGUGAAAGUGAAAAACUACUCCGUUGGACACAUUGAUUGUUGGAUUGCUGUGAAUGGUAAUAGGUGGCGGUUUACAGGCUUUUAUGGACAUCCUGAUUCUACCAAACGUUUCCAGUCUUGGGAGCUUCUCAAGAGGUUGGGGGAGAAUUCUAGAGACUAUCCGUGGUUGGUGGGAGGUGAUUUUAAUGAGAUCUUAAGUCAGAAAGAGAAGAGAGGUGGCAAGCGAAAGGCUUGGAAUCAAUUGGCAGGGUUUCGAAAAGAAAACCUGAUGAUACAUUAUAUUCUAUAUCUUCUAAAACAUUAAUACUACAAUUUUUACUUUACUCAAUUAUUUAUUCUCUUCAAAUAAAUAUGCCUUGUCUUCCAAGACAAAGGAUUUCUCAGGGCCAAAUGCCAAUAUAAUUAUCUUUACUUAAUUAUACUUCGUCUCGUGGUUUUAUCACAUAAAUGCGCAGCUUUAUUCAAUUGGUAACUGUCACAAAAUUUGGGUAGAAAUGAGUGUAUUGUAUAAUUAAAUUGCAUGUGCAAUUAUAUCCUAAUCCGAAUUUAUAUUUGGACUCAAAUUAUAUAAAUGAAACUAUUCUGAAUAUUAGUACAAUUUAAUUAUACAGUAUAUCCGAUCGUAUCCAAGACCACUUACAAGUAUAUUGGUAGUUUACUUUAUGGGUUAUAAAUCAUCAUAAACAGUUUGAUAAACCAAUAAUUUGGAGUAUUAAUUAAGACAAUUUAUAACAAGUAUAAACAAAUACUAGUAAUCAUCUCGAGUGAGGAUAUAAUUUUAUGGUGUUUUUAUAAUCAAAUUCAAACUAUACUUUCCUCUUUUUCUUAUUUUUGCAAAUCUAUUUGGUUUCAGACGAAGUUUUAAACAACUGAUAUCGCAAAAGAAAUACUAUUAUGAACGACUUUUUAGAGAAGAUAUUGUUUAGACAAAUAAUUUGUUGGGCCAAGCAAAAUGAUAUAUGUUGGGCUGGAGAUUCCAAGAGUAAAUAAUACUUAAAAAUCUGCCGAGUAAAAGGGAAAUAAAAAGAAAUAAAUAAAUAAAAGGCGAAAAAGGAUUGGGCACCUCGCACCUGGAUCCAAACGCGGCCAUUAUUAUAAUCACAAAAUAUUUACACGUAUAUAUAAUGUAUAUAUAUAUGAAAUCAUUAUGAAAUAGCGUAGGUGAAAGGAAGUAGCUGUGAGAGAGAGAGAGAGCCCGAAGAUUAGAAGAAGAAAAAGUAAAAUAGGAAAAUAUUUGUGAAUCCUCAAAUUUGCAGCACCCGUUGUAAUCGCUAGCUUUACAAUUUUUAUUUUUAUUUUCAUUUUAUCUUCUUUCUCUACCCGUUAGAAAAAUCUGAUUUUUUCUUGCUAAUAAUUAGAAGAAAUCUGUAAUAUUCUUGAUUUUGUCCAUGGAGUUUCCGAUGGGGAAAUGUGUAUGUAUAUUCAUGUGUAUAUUGGCGGCAUCAGCUACGUCGUUUCGAUUGGUGUCUUCAUCAUCGACUUGUAAACGUGAUUCCAUGGAAUUUCUUCACGAUCUGAAUUCUCAGUGCCCCCUAUCGAUCCAUUGCUCUUCAUCCCCAAUUCAGGUAAUUUAUCAUUUUUUUAUCCUAAAAAUUUCAGCCUUUUUUUUUUGUUAUUAUUGCACAUAUGUGCGUCUAGGGUUUCAAGGGUGUUGCUUUAGAAAUAUUAAUGUCUUGAUUAUUCGAUUUUGUAUGCGGUAUGUCGGUUUUCUUAUCUCAUUACACGCCACUUUUUGUCUCGGUGUGUGUUUUUCUUUAUUGUUAUUGUGAGCUAAUGUGUCAGCUUGUUACAUGAGCUGCAUGUUUUGGCACAAAAAGAGUAAACUUAUGUGGGAUAGAGUUAUAAACGUUGACUCUCAUUACACUUAUUGGUAUGAACAUUCUUUUAUUUUUUGGUUUUGUAGAAAGCCUGUAUCUUUAUUCUGGACUUGUUAUAGUAAAAUGAGUAAAUUUCAGCAUUAGUUAGCUUGGGAGAUUCUAUAUGAGUGCUGUUUUAAAACUCCAUUUUCUUGAAAUUAGGGCUACCUCUAGCAUUUCCUCUCAGAAACCUAUGUUACUUCCUGUCCUGUUUUGGUUGAUUGGUUGCACAUUAGCAUACCAUUUACUUCUUUCUUGCUGUUUAUGUUGUUAACCGGCUAUCCUUCUAGCAUAAUGAUAUAACAUUACUCAUCAAUGAUAUAUAAUAACCAAGGAAGGUCUUUUUCUAUAAAAAGCUAAUGUCUUUGGUAUCCAGCUAAAACUAGGUGAGCAGCGUUGGUACACCGAAAUGUCGAUUGCAGACACACUUCAAUUAACCCUAUCUGUGGUGUGAUAGUGUUCAUUUAUAAUGAUGUUCGUACUUAUGUGAGAUUAAUAUGCAUGUUUGAUGCAGCUUUCUGUUUAUAUCUCUUGAUUCCAAUUUAAGUUGAACUGUCUUUAUCUUUCUCCCAUGCUGAUUUUUAGAGGUAACCCUUUAUGGUUUAUCUUUAAUCAUGUAUUGAUACAUUAAUAUGUAAUUGAAGGUGAAUGAAGAAUCCCUUGAAAAUGCAAUGAGCUCCAUUCGAGACAAUGAAUAUACUGCUGUUCUUUUCUAUGCUUCUUGGUGUCCUUUCUCAAGCAUCUUUCAGUCAAGGUUUUCUACUCUCAGUUCCAUGUAUCCACAGAUCAAACAUAUAAUGGUCGACCAAACCUCUGUCUUGCCGAGGUAAGUGUUUUAGUUUGUAUUCUCUUCCUAUAUUGUCACCUCUUCCAAGUUUAGAAGUGCUGAUUCGUUUCAAACAUGGGUGAACCUAGAUUGUGUAGUCUCCUAUAAACCAUAGAAAUGAGCAUUUCCACUCAUCCAUCACACCUGCUUACCACAAAUGUAUUAGACAUCUCUGUGCAGCGGUCUGUUGUUGGCACUGCACAAAGGCUUGUAAACCUAUGGAAUUCUAUUUACCAAAUUUUUAUCACUACCUUUAGGUUGAGGUUAUUGCUGCAUCUGCUCUAACACUAGUUUGACAAAUGACCCUACUACUUGAAGAUGCUACUUGGUCGAAUAUUAAGUAUGGAUAGUUCUCUCAGCUAUUCAGAACAAGCUUGUAGUACUUUCGUAGGGUCCUUGUAGAUCAUUUAGUUAUGACUUCUCCUCUUUGGUAGCUGCUUCUAUGUACUAGCUGACCUUGCAAAGCUUAUAGAGUCCAUAUUCAAUUAGGGAAGUUUAAAAUCUAUUUGUAUGUGUGUGUGUGUGUGUGUGUUCAAGCCUUUCGCCUGAGUUUAACUUGUCUGAUGUGUGCAGCGUCUUCUCAAGAAAUGGGAUUCACAGCGUGCCAUCGCUUCUGAUUGUGAAUCAGACUACUAGAGCGAGAUAUUAUGGUCGUAAAGAUCUCCCUUCUAUUGUGAACUUCUACAAAAAAUCUACAGGUAGCACCAAUGGUCGAAAGUUGAUUUCCUAAGAUUGUGUCUGAUUGAGCUCAUGACAUAUCUAUGUUUGUGGCUUGAUGAGUGCUUACAUGAUCUAUGUAGUUUUACUUCAGUUCCUUGAGAUAUUCAUCUUUACUUUUGUCAGCAUUUAUACAACUGAUAGAUUAAAUUGAUCUUACAUAAAGUGUUUAGUGAAUAGUGGCCCUGAGAAUGUUUGAGUGGGAAUGCAAGAUGCAAAAAGAGUGCGUUUUUCUUCAUAAAUAACCUUAUCCCUAUGUGUAUGCUCCUAUUCAGAAGGUAGCCAAAAAUUUAUGUUGAAUUGCAUCUUUCCUUGUAUUAUAUGGCUUUCCAAUAUUUAUUUCUCCUUAAUGUCAUGACAUCAUCUGUAUAUUUACGUGUUCAUGGAUGAUGAAAUUCUUUUAUUUGCUUAGGACUGGAUCCUGUAGUGGAUAUAGUAGAAGACACGGAAUGCAAUCUGGAGAGUGACGAGCAAGUAUUUGGGGUUUGGAAAGGAGCAUCAUUGAAAGAGAUUUUCUCGAGGGAACCUUAUCUACUAGUCUCUAUAAUAUUUGUUUUGUCAAGGGCUUUUCUAUAUGUCUUCCCGGAGAUUGCAUAUCAUAUAAUGGCGAUUUGGUUGGCAUAUAUUCCUCAUCUGAAUAUGGGGAUCUUUGGAGAAUCACGACAGCUUAUAGGCCGGGCGCUGCAUCUGAUUGAUGUGAAGAGAAUUUGGAGCAAGUUAAAGGUGUGUAAGACUAGGAACUUCCACAAGGGAGCGAGGAAUGCCCGGGUUUGGGCUUCAUCCCUGGCGUCUGUCUCGUUGGGUGAGACGUCGUCAUCUAGAGCAUUAUCUUCCAAGGACUUGUAAACCAUUUUUGUACCAUUUGUUGAUGGGGUUUGCCCUUUUACUUAUUGAUGAUGUAAUCGUUAGUCUUUGCAGUCACUGCCUUGAGAAUAUCUUGUGUAAAGACUUGAGAUUUCACUUGAAAUUUCGACUCUAGUGAGAGAAAAACAAAACCAUGUAAAUUUCUUAACACAAUCCUCCUUUGGUUGUAAAAUAUACAAGUUGGUUGAGAACAAGUUCCACACCUCCAAUGUGUCUCCAAUUAAUUUAAAAUGUCAAUUGCUUUUGCUCCCCUAUAUAUGUAAAAGCAAUGGUACAUUCAUAAGGUGGUCUCAUUUUGGUUUUUCAAUGUUUUUUUGGAAGGUUUCUCAAUACUUUGGCAAAAAAAGAGCAUAAUUUUUUUGUGCUUUUUACUCACAAUUAUUUAAGUAUUAAAAACUUUAUGGUACAUUCAUAUUCAUAUACUAGUAUAAGGCAAUUUCAGAUAUCUCCCAAUUCUUUCCUAUUUUAAUUUGAAAUAGUAAUCGAUAAGUAUCAAAGAAAUAGUGGUGGGGCAGAUUGGGUAAUUGGUUUGAGCUGUCUUGUCCAAUCCAAAACCCUAAAUUCAAAAUCUUCCAGAACUUUGCACUUCUCUUUGGCUUCUAGUUGUGUACAAUUCUCAAAACCCCCAGAGUUUUGCUACAGAAUUCGGCGCUCUUACUCUCCCACGUCAUGGUAUCAGUUCCACUAUUUUUGAUUGUUGUAGUAUAUAAUGUUUCCAUGUUUUGUCUGUAAUUCUCAACUAUUCGAGCACAUGUAACAUGAAUUCUGUGUGUAUGUAUUGCAGACUGCAGAAGCCGUGAACCCGAAAGCAUAUCCGUUGGCAGAUGCCCAGCUGAUCACUACUAUACUUGAUUUGGUUCAACAAGCCGCCAACUACAAACAACUCAAAAAGGGCGCUAAUGAAGGUUGGAUACUUUUUUUUCCCGAAGUGUGUGAGUUCCUCUGUGCUAAUUGAUAAGUGAUUGAGGAAUUUUAUGGUUUUGUCAACUUAAUGCAGCUACUAAGACGUUGAACCGUGGGAUUUCUGAAUUUGUUGUGAUGGCGGCUGAUACAGAGCCUCUUGAAAUCCUCCUUCACCUUCCGCUUCUUGCUGAAGAUAAGGUAGUUAUCACUUAUUUGCUUUCACAGAUGUGAUUUCUGCGUUAAAUUUGUUCAUAUAAUUGAGCACCCAACUUGUGAUUUUGCGUGAUGGGACAACUGCUGAGUUCAUGCUGUGUGUGUGUGUUUCAAAUACACAUUUAGUCUCGCGUGACGAAUAUCAUCCAUUAUCUUUUGUUUGUAAUAUAACGUAGUAUCAAGCUAUUGGCUUUAUGUUGUUAGUCCUCGAAACUAACAGAAGAUUAUUGCAUGAGAAGGCUACUGUGUUCUUGAGAAUUUAUCAGAAUUACUUCUGCGGGUGUGCCCAUCUAGUCAAGGACAACAUUCCACUCCACUAACUUGGAUUUUUUUUCUUCUUCGUAUUUUGCCCUUGUUAUCGCUCUGUCCAGCUAUCAUCAUUUCGUUUUCUAGAUCAUUAUAGUUCUUGUUAUGAUGAGAAAUAUAUUCUUAGUAGAAUUUAUUAUAUCGGUAUUGAUAGUUCUCAGUAUUUUCUCUGUUGUGCCCAUUUUCCAUGGGGAAAGAAAACUGUUACAUGGGCCAAGUAGAGCAUUUUAUCACUUGUCUUCCAUGACCGCUAUGCUGAACUUUGAUUGUGGCUGCAGAAUGUGCCCUAUGUUUUUGUUCCAUCCAAGCAAGCUCUUGGCCGAGCAUGUGGAGUGACCAGACCAGUCAUUGCUUGUUCUGUUACCAGCAACGAGGGAAGCCAAUUGAAAUCUCAAAUACAGCAGUUGAAGGUAUCUUGCUAGAGGCUCAAUUUUUGUUGUGAUAAGACCUUCAAGUUUGUAUUGAUAAUAAUUGUAUUCAUUUCGCCUAUUCCUUUUCCUUGUUUAAUGUAGGAUGCUAUCGAGAAGCUUCUGAUCUGAUUAUGCUAAAUAGCCUCUUCCAGCAUGAUGGGCCUUCAGAUCAUCCCUGAGGCUUUGACUGAACUAGUUUCCUCAUACAAUGAUCGGCUCACUCUCCGUACUUUUCUUUCUUUCCUUUUAUUGUUCUUCAUAGAGAUUGUGAUUUUGACACUCAAUAGACACCAAGACUUGGAAGUAUAUUACCUGUUUCAAGACUGUAAGACUUGGAGCUCCCUUGUUCUGGGGGGCUCUUUAUUCAUAUGAGAUGCCUUUUGUAGAAACGUAAUCUAUUGCUUCAAUUUUCUUGCUUACAUCAACAUAGAUGAGAAUAUCUAGUUAGUUGAUAGCAAUUUUCAUUCAGUAUGUGGUUAAGUCAGUUGUGUCUUUACGUUAGUCUCACCCCCUUUUCAAUUUUAUGGACCACUAGGGUGAGAGCUGCACAUGAAAAUUGGCCAAUCAGAUGCUUUCGUUAGGUACCUUGGACCCGUCACAAGUUUGAUAGUUUCUUAGCUUCGUGGCAAAGCUGUUUCUUACCGGCUUCUUAGAUGUUGGCAUGUAAGUUUCACCCAUCUGUCCUGUUUAAGGUUUUGGAUCAUUGGAAAAGUAUGGAUGAUUUAAAUUAACUUUUUAGAAAGCUACACUUCCACCUCCCCUUGUUCCAAACUUUAGGUAUAGUUGCUUUAACACGUUAGAUCUCCAACAUAAGACAGCUAAAGAGCCACUUAAUUUUACUUCUACUCUGCGAUUAACACGCUAUAUCUCCAACAUAAGACAGCUAAAAGGGUAAACUUCAUUAUUUUGUAGCCGAAUUUCAGAUAAUGGUUCGAAGAAUAAAGUAAGAAAAAACAAAUAGUGAGGUGGGUGCAGUGAUUGAAGGGCCUUCUACACAUGUUGAAUUGAUAGCUUAAGGACAAAGCAAGUUUUGUUGCCUUUGAAUACACAUACACAUACACAUACAUAUACAUAAUAUAAUAUGAAUGAUGGAUGCAUACACUCUGUCUCAACCUUAUACGGCAUGCAUGUGCUAAUCUAUAUGAUUUGAUGAAAUCUUUUUGUUUUAUCUCUCUAAAACUCUCGUGGCAAUGAAUGUUACCGUGUUUUGUGUUUGGUGGUUAGAAAUGUGGUGAUACGUGUGCCCCGUUAAACCUUUCAAGUCGUGUCUAUCGGGCUCACUUUAUGCGAUUUGGCUCUUCUACGUGAUUUUUUGAAAGCGAGGCACAUGGAGUAUUGGAGUGGUUGAUAAUAAGUGCUAAGCUUUGAGAAAUUAAGGAAAUGUGUUGAAUUAUUAUCAGUUAGAAGUUAGAACCAUAUGAGCUAAGUGCUAAGCUUUGAGAAACUAAGGAAAUGUGUUGAAUUAUUAUCAGUUAGAACCAUAUGAGCUGUUUUAUGCGAGUUAAAGCUAACUUUGUUGUUAUCUAAAUUUGUCGAAGCUGCAUGUGGUGACGGCGUUAUUAAUACUGUCUUAAUUAUUGUUGUUACGAAGAUUCUUGUAGCAAGAAAAUUAGGUGAAGAUUGAUUGGAAGAUGGAAUCAGAAUAAUACAUUUUUGCAAUCGUACAAUAUCUUGAUUCUCUUCUUUUUUUGUCUGUGUUUUCCAUUCAUCUCUUGAUGAUGGUGAUAAAGGAUAUAUUAGGUAAUUUAGGUUAAAACACAAUUUAACUUUAUUAUGUGGGGGCCGAGACCCCCUUUAUUCGUUGAUCUUCAUAAGUGUGAGGUAAAGGGUCAUUUUUCGUAAGUUAGGUGAAGUAAAAUUUGCUAAGGCAGUCGACUUCAAUUUUUCUAGUAUGCAUCCUAAAAAAGAGAUGUAUUUAUUGCAGCGUGCAUCACCUAUAAAUACGUAAUGAAAACACUCACGCUUAAAUAAAUAUUUUCUGUGCCCAAAUAAUUGUUCCUACCUGCCCUAAACUCAUUGUACUCAUAAAGUCAUAAUACUAAGAAAGUGAAUAACUUUACUCUCAAUUGUUGCGUGAAAAAAUCGAAAGAGUGCAAUAUUUGCAUUGAGGAUGAGUAAGAUUGUAAGUUGGCAACAUUUUAUCAUAGAAUUCUAAAACGAAACAUUUAUUUGGGGAGGAAAUUCAUUUCUCUGUUAUAAUUUGCUUUUAGUAUUUUAUUCUCAUAGUAAUAUUUACUUAUAUCGCUUUUAUUUUGUGACAAUAUAAAUAUGCAUUUAGCACAUAAUAAUAUUGGAGAUUGUUCGAAUAAAGGAUGGAAUUCAAGACCCAUUCUUUCUCUAGCAUUAUUAUUCCUACAAAUCCCAUUUUUUUACAGAUGCCCCACCGCUUUGGUUAGAAAUACUUCUAGCAUGAAGCCUCUCUCUCUCUCUCUCGUGUAUCGAAGAGGCCACGUUUUGGUAGAAUUUUCGAACACAAAAUGCUGUUGUCAUUAAUCAUGUUUCAUAAAGCAAUCUUCUUUUUCUUCUGCCUAAAAAAAUGAUUCUUUAGACUUUCACAUUUAAUAAUUUAUCAACCCAAGUAAGACUCAAGAGACGUAAUUUAUUUCAUGAGAUGCAAUAAAGAAUGAGAAUCAGGUAGAACACAAUAAUUCUUAUUAAUAAUAACAAGAUGAUGCUACAUAAAAAUGAAAACAAGAAAAAGGAAAACAAAAAAUCACCAUCAAAUCAAUACUCGAGCUAAAUCCGUCGUGAAGAAUACUGCAACAAUAAUAAGUUAACAAGGAACAAAAAUUUGUACUGGUAAAAUUAAAGGUAAAAGAAAAUAGAAAGGUUAUUAGGUAAAGAUGAUAAAUCAGAAGACAAAUGCAAAAGCCAUGGCCACAAAGGAGGCGAGGAAAGUGGGAACAAAGGCGGUUGCGUCGGAAGUGGGGGACGGCGCCGGAGCGUCAGCGGCUUCGACGGCGGAGAGCGCCAUGAUCAUGAAUGCAACGGCGACCGUCUUCAUGCUCUUGGCCUCCAUCUCAACAAGUUUAUCGAAGCUGAAUAGUUACACACACAAGAGAGAAGAGAAGAGAAGAGAGAGUGGUGUAUGCAGCUAAUAAGAGAAUAUGAAUGUAUAUAGAGAGUUUAGGGGUUUAUAUAAUACAUACAAUACAAAGAUGACUUAUUAGCUUUGUGUGAGAGAGAGAGAGAGAGUAGGGGCAGUUGCCCGGGAUGAAAUGUAGAAAAAUUCCUAACGGUUAACACAAAUGAAUUAAGAUAGGAGACCGCCCACUCUUUUUU